UACGGAGGGGGCUAGCGUUAAUCGGAAUUACUGGGCGUAAAGGGAGCGUAGGCGGAUAGUUUAGUCAGAGGUGAAAGCCCAGGGCUCAACCUUGGAACUGCCUUUGAGACUGGCUAUCUUGAGUACGGGAGAGGGGAGUGGAACUCCGAGUGUAGAGGUGAAAUUCGUAGAUAUUCGGAAGAACACCAGUGGCGAAGGCGACUCACUGGCCCAUUACUGACGCUGAGGCGCGAAAGCGUGGGGAGCAAACAGG
rnacentral:rRNA from 1 species